rnacentral:lncRNA from 1 species
GGCUUAGAAUUGACUCAACACUGCCUCCUUGCUGAAUGGAUAAUUCAAGCAAAAAACUCAAGAGCUGGAUGCUGCCCAGACAGGAGUCCUCCUAGCAUCUCCCUUCUGCCUUCCCCUGCCCCUGUCCCUGAAACCUUUUCUUCAAAAGAAGUGGAAAAGAGGAACUGGGAACCCAUAUAGCAACAGCAUCACCUGGAAUGAAUUCCUUUAGAACAUACUAUCUUGGAAAUCUGAAGCCUGCAGGGCUGGACAGGCAAGAAGAGCAGUGAGCACUGCAUGAACCUCACCCUUGAACUUCUAUAUGGUCUCCAAAGACAUGAUAAAUACAGAGAUUGCUCUCUCCUUUCAACUGCAACAGUAAUGAUUCCUUUGCAUUUUAAUUAAGCCUUUUACACAUGCAUAAGUCUUGUAUCCUCAAAUGGACUAAAGACUCCUCGAGGACAAGAACUAUCCUUCAGUCCCAUACAUUGGUUACCUGGCAAAGGACCCUAAAUGCAGAUUAUGAAGUAGCUAUGGAAUUUGAAUGGGUUCAUUCUUCAGCUCCCAGAAAAAAACUUUGAUUGGUUUAACUGGCCACAGUAAUUGAUGUGGGAAUGAGGCCAUGACAUAAUUUCAACUUAGAAGACAUGUUCACUGGAGGUGAACUAGGAAGCACAAAGAAAGAAUAAGCAGUCUUAGGAUGAAGGCAGUGCUAUGGACACCAGAAUUCCAUGGUUCAGGCUGUUCAGCAUCAACUGUUCCUGACAGCCACCCUAACGUGCCUCCAGUUUCCUGGGCCAACAGCUGCCUGUCAUUGUUGAAGUUUCUUUGAGUUGGGUCUUCUGUUACUUACAACUUAAAUCACCCUCACUGAUUGCUAUGUACUUCAUUGUUCUCCUCCACUCUCCACCAAUCCAUAUGCUGAAGCCUAAUCCCCAACGUGAUGGUAUUUGGAGACUGGGACUUUGGGAGAUAAUUAGAUUUAGAUUCAGUCAUGAGGAUGGGACCUUCAAGAUGGGAAUAGUAUCCUUAUAAAAAGUGGUACUAGAAAGCCUCUUUUUCUCUCUCUCUGACACAUAAGAACACAGCAAGAAGGCAGCCAUCUGCAAGCCAGGAAGAGAGCCCUCACCAGAACUUGACCAUGCUGACACCCUGAUCUCAGAUGUCCAGCCUCCAGAACUGCAAAAAAGACACAUUUUCGUUGUUUAAGCUACCUAGUUUAUGGUAUUUUGUUACAGCAGCCCAAUCUGACUAAUACACUGAAACAGGCAUAUUAGGGUACAUGCCACCAGCAGAGUGGUUCAACUGCAGGUCCACACUUACCCAGUGAAGGUGACAGCCUAGAGUGUGACUCAGUCUCUUCCCAACCCUGUCUGCAUCACCCCUGGGAGAGUCAGCUCCUCCCACAACUGCAGUCCUGACAGCAGCAUCAUGCCUCUGAAAUGAUCUUGCAAACAAGCUGUCAUUGGAGUGCUGAGAGAGUGGCAAUAUCAACUAAAAAAAUGAAGAAGAAGAGCAACAGAGGAGGAAGAGGAGGAGAAGAGGGAAAGAAGCGAGGCGCUGUGGUGAAGAGUAGUACUUCUCAUCUCCACCAGAACAGCAGAGAACAAUCAAAGCACACCAUCAGGAC